CCUACGGGCGGCAGCAGUGGGGAAUAUUGGACAAUGGGCGAAAGCCUGAUCCAGCCAUGCCGCGUGUGUGAAGAAGGCCUUCGGGUUGUAAAGCACUUUCAGUGGGGAAGAAAGCCUUGGGGCUAAUACCCUCGAGGAAGGACAUCACCCACAGAAGAAGCGCCGGCUAACUCCGUGCCAGCAGCCGCGGUAAUACGGAGGGUGCGAGCGUUAAUCGGAAUUACUGGGCGUAAAGCGCGCGUAGGCGGUCUGAUAAGCCGGUUGUGAAAGCCCCGGGCUCAACCUGGGAACGGCAUCCGGAACUGUCAGGCUAGAGUGCAGGAGAGGAAGGUAGAAUUCCCGGUGUAGCGGUGAAAUGCGUAGAGAUCGGGAGGAAUACCAGUGGCGAAGGCGGCCUUCUGGACUGACACUGACGCUGAGGUGCGAAAGCGUGGGUAGCAAACAGGAUUAGAUCCCUGUAGC
rnacentral:rRNA from 1 species